rnacentral:rRNA from 1 species
UACGGAAGAUGCGAGCGUUAUCCGGAUUUAUUGGGUUUAAAGGGAGCGUAGGCGGAAGCUUAAGUCUGCGGUUAAAUGUCAGCGCUCAACGCUGUCUUGCCGUGGAAACUGGGUUUCUUGAAUGUGCACAAGGUGGAUGGAAUUCGUGGUGUAGCGGUGAAAUGCUUAGAUAUCACGAAGAACUCCGAUUGCGAAGGCAGUCCACUGGGGCAUGAUUGACGCUGAGGCUCGAAAGUGCGGGAAUC